GACAGCCAAUGGCAAGGCGCUUGACUACGACUUGAACCCGCACUCUGAAAUCAAGAGAUUCCAGGUUCGACCCCUGGCAUGGUCA